UACGUAGGGUGCAAGCGUUGUCCGGAAUUAUUGGGCGUAAGAGCUCGUAGGCGGUCUGUCGCGUCGGAUGUGGAAAACCCAGGGCUCAACCCUGGGCCUGCAUUCGAUACGGGCAGACUAGAGUUCGGUAGGGGAGACGUGGAAUUCCUGGUGUAGCGGUGAAAUGCGCAGAUAUCAGGAGGAACACCGGUGGCGAAGGCGGGUCUCUGGGCCGAAACUGACGCUGAGGAGCGAAAGCGUGGGAGCAAACAGG
rnacentral:rRNA from 1 species